rnacentral:rRNA from 1 species
GAUGAACGCUGGCGGCGUGCCUAAUACAUGCAAGUCGAGCGAACAGACGAGGAGCUUGCUCCUCUGACGUUAGCGGCGGACGGGUGAGUAACACGUGGAUAACCUACCUAUAAGACUGGGAUAACUUCGGGAAACCGGAGCUAAUACCGGAUAAUAUAUUGAACCGCAUGGUUCAAUAGUGUAAGACGGUUUUGCUGUCACUUAUAGAUGGAUCCGCGCCGCAUUAGCUAGUUGGUAAGGUAACGGCUUACCAAGGCAACGAUGCGUAGCCGACCUGAGAGGGUGAUCGGCCACACUGGAACUGAGACACGGUCCAGACUCCUACGGGAGGCAGCAGUAGGGAAUCUUCCGCAAUGGGCGAAAGUCUGACGGAGCAACGCCGCGUGAGUGAUGAAGGUCUUCGGAUCGUAAAACUCUGUUAUUAGGGAAGAACAAAUGUGUAAGUAACUAUGCACGUCUUGACGGUACCUAAUCAGAAAGCCACGGCUAACUACGUG